GGCUCAGUAGCUCAGUUGGUUAGAGCAGGGGACUCAUAAGCCUCGUGUCGGGUGUUCAAAUCACCCCUGAGCCA
rnacentral:tRNA from 3 species